rnacentral:rRNA from 1 species
CGCGAUUCGCCCUUCGGGGUGCAGCAGGCGCGAAAACUCUACAAUGCAGGCAACUGCGAUAGGGGAACAUCGAGUGGCGUCCAUAUUGGAUGUCUGUCCUCCCGCCUAAAAAGCGGGAGUUAGCAAGGGCCGGGCAAGACCGGUGCCAGCCGCCGCGGUAAUACCGGCGGCUCGAGUGGUGGCCGAUAUUAUUGAGUCUAAAGGGUCCGUAGCCGGCUUUGCAAGUCUCUCGGGAAAUCCAGCGGCUUAACCGUUGGUCGUCCGGGGGGUACUACAUUGCUUGGGACUGGGAGAGGUAGGAGGUACUCAGGGGGUAGGAGUGAAAUCCUGUAAUCCUUUGGGGACCACCGGUGGCGAAGGCGUCCUACCAGAACAGGUCCGACGGUGAGGGACGAAAGCUAGGGGCACGAACCGGAUUAGAUACCCGGGUAGUCCUAGCCGUAAACGAUGCUCGCUAGGUGUCACAACAGUCGUGAACUGUUGUGGUGCCGUAGGGAAGCCGUGAAGCGAGCCACUUGGGAAGUACGACCGCAAGGUUGAAACUUAAAGGAAUUGGCGGGGGAGCAC